rnacentral:rRNA from 1 species
GAUGAACGCUGGCGGCGUGCCUAACACAUGCAAGUCGAACGGAGUCCAGCCUUUAAGCCCUUCCGGUCAAAGAGGGGAAGACUGAGUGGCGGACGGGUGAGUAACACGUGGGCAACCUGGCUCAUAGAGGGGGAUAACAGAGAGAAAUUUCUGCUAAUACCGCAUAAGCACACACUGCCGCAUGGCAGAGGGUGAAAAGAGAAUCGCUAUGAGAUGGACCCGCGUCUGAUUAGCCAGUUGGCAGGGUAAGAGCCUACCAAAGCGACGAUCAGUAGCCGAUCUGAGAGGAUGAACGGCCACAUUGGGACUGAGACACGGCCCAAACUCCUACGGGAGGCAGCAGUGGGGGAUAUUGCACAAUGGGGGGAACCCUGAUGCAGCGACGCCGCGUGAGUGAAGAAGUAUUUCGGUAUGUAAAGCUCUAUCAGCAGGGAAGAUAAUGACAGUACCUGAAUAAGAAGCCCCGGCUAACUACGUG